rnacentral:misc_RNA from 1 species
GAAAUGCGAUAAUUAAUGUGAAUUGCAGAAUUCAGUGAAUCAUCGAGUCUUUGAACGCACAUUGCGCCCCCUGGUAUUCCGGGGGGCAUGCCUGUCCGAGCGUCAUUGCUGCCCUCAAGCACGGCUUGUGUGUUGGGCUUCCGUCCCUGGCAACGGGGACGGGCCCAAAAGGCAGUGGCGGCACCAUGUCUGGUCCUCGAGCGUAUGGGGCUUUGUCACCCGCUCCAGUAGGUCCAGCUGGCAGCUAGCCUCGCAACCAAUCUUUUUAACCAGGUUGACCUCGGAUCAGGUAGGGAUACCCGCUGAACUUAAGC